rnacentral:tRNA from 1 species
UCCCUGGUGGCUCAGUUGGUAAAGAAUCUGCCUGCAAUGCAGGAGACCCAGGUUCGAUCCCUGGGAUGGGAA